CAGGUAGUAACAGAGGGUUUGAUUCUGGCUCAGAUUGAACGCUGGCGGGAUGCUUUACACAUACCUGCAGUCGAACGGCAGCACGGACUUCAGUCUGGUGGCGAGUGGCGAACAGGUGGUAAUGUAUCGGAACGUGCUAGUAGCGGGGGAUAACUACGCGAAAGCGUAGCUAAUACCGCAUACGCCCUUCGGGGAAAAGCGGGGACCUUCGGGCCUCGCACUAUUAGAGCGGCCGAUAUCGGAUUAGCUGGUGGUGGGGUAACGGCUCACCAAGGCGACGAUCCGUAGCUGGUUUGAAGAGGACGACCAGCCACACUGGGACUGAGACACGGCCCAGACUCCUACGGGGAAGCAGCAGUGGGGUAUUUUGGACAAUGGGGGAAACCCUGAUCCAGCCAUCCCGCGUGUGCGAUGAAGGCCUUCGGGUUGUAAAGCACUUUUGGCAGGAAAGAAACGGCCUGGGAUAAUACCCCGUGCAACUGACAGUACCUGCAGAAUAAGCACCGGCUAACUACGUGCCAGCAGCCGCGGUAAUACGUAGGAGUGCAAGCGUUAAUCAGACACUGGGCGUAAAGCGUGCGCAGAACGGUUCGGAAGAAAGAUGUGAAAUCGACUUAACUUUGGAACUGCGUGCACCAACUACCGAGCUAGAGUGUCAGAGGGAGGUGGAAUUCCGCGUGUAGCAGUGAAAUGCGUAUAGAUAUGCGGAGGAACACCGAUAACGAAGGCAGCCUCCUGGGAUAACACUGACGCUCAUGCACGAAAGCGUGGGGAGCAAACAGGAUUAGAUACCCUGGUAGUCCACGCCCUAAACGAUGUCAACUAGCUGUUGGGGCCUUCGGGCCUUGGUAGCGCAGCUAACGCGUGAAGUUGACCGCCUGGGAGUACGGUCGCAAGAUUAAAACUCAAAGGAAUUGACGGGGACCCACUGGCGGUGGAUGAUGUGGAUUAAUUCGAUGCAACGCGAAAAACCUUACCUACCCUUGACAUGUCUGGAAUCUCAGAAAGAGAGAUUUGGGGUACUCGCAAGAACCGGAGAACACAGAUGCUGCAUGGCUGUCGUCAACUCGUGUCGUGAGAUGUUGGAUUAAGUCCGCAACGAGCGCAACCCUUGUCAUUGGAUUGCUACGAAGACGCUCUAAUGAGACUGCCGGUGACAAACCGGAGGAGGUGAGGAUGACGUCAAAGUCCUCAUGGCCCUUAUGGGUGGACUUCACACGUCAUACAAUGGUCCGGGACAGAGGGUCGCCAACCCACGAGGGAGCCAAUCCCAGAAACCCGAUCGUAGUCCGGAUCGCAGUCUGCAACUCGACUGCGUGAAGUCAGGAUCGCUAGUAAUCGCGGAUCAGCAUGUCGCGGUGAAUACGUUCCAGAUCUUGUACACACCGCCCGUCACACCAUGGGAGUGGGUUUUACCAGAAGUAGUUAACCUAACCGUAAGGAGGGCGAUUACCACGGUAGGAUUCAUGACUGGGGUGAAGUCGUAACAAGGUAGC
rnacentral:rRNA from 1 species